rnacentral:rRNA from 1 species
UACGGAGGGGGCUAGCGUUGUUCGGAAUUACUGGGCGUAAAGCGCGCGUAGGCGGCUGCCUAAGUCGGUUGUGAAAGCCCCGGGCUCAACCUGGGAACUGCACUCGAUACUGGGCGGCUAGAGUAUGAGAGAGGGAGGUAGAAUUCCACGUGUAGCGGUGAAAUGCGUAGAUAUGUGGAGGAAUACCGGUGGCGAAGGCGGCCUCCUGGGCCGGCAUUGACGCUGAGGAGCGAAAGCUAGGGGAGCAAACGGG